UACGUAGGGUGCGAGCGUUAAUCGGAAUACUGGGCGUAAAGCGUGCGCAGGCGGUUUUGUAAGACAGAUGUGAAAUCCCCGGGCUUAACCUGGGAACUGCAUUUGUGACUGCAAGACUAGAGUGUGUCAGAGGGGGGGUGGAAUUACCACGUGUAGCAGUGAAAUGCGUAGAGAUGUGGAGGAAACACCGAUGGCGAAGGCAGCCCCCUG
rnacentral:rRNA from 1 species